CCCUUAUGAAAUUAAUGACUUCUAUAAUAUUGUAUGCAUUAUGAUUGUUGAUGGGAUGUUCAUGAAACAAGAUUUGAUGAACUUAUGGCAUGUUGUUAUAUGCAUUCCCUUCCAUGUAUAAAAUAACAAGAACUAUGUGUAGUAUGAAAUCCCCAACUUAUGGCAUUAUGAAUUGUGGGCUUUAUUUCUAUGAUCAAGAAUUAUCAUGUUAUGUCAGUUUUCUUCUAUAGAGUCCUGGGGGUACUUGUACCCGAAAAGAUAGCUAUGUGCCUAGAUCCAAUGUCAUAUUUUCACGAUCCUCUUAGUCA
rnacentral:lncRNA from 1 species